rnacentral:rRNA from 1 species
CAGAACGAACGCUGGCGGCGUGGCUAAGACAUGCAAGUCGAACGGAGUUUUCUUGAAGGGCAACCGGAUGAAAAUCCAGUGGCGAACGGGUGCGUAACACGUGAGCAAUCUACCUCCAAGUGGGGAAUAGCUCGGCGAAAGCCGGAUUAAUACCGCAUACGGUCCUCCUUCGCAUGAAGGGGAAACCAAAGCCGGGGUCGCAAGACCUGGCGCUAGGAGAGGAGCUCGCGGCCUAUCAGCUAGUUGGCGGGGUAACGCCCACCAAAGGCUAAGACGGGUAGCUGGUCUGAGAGGAUGAUCAGCACAC